AUACGGAGGGUGCAAGCGUUAAUCGGAAUUACUGGGCGUAAAGCGCACGCAGGCGGUUUGUUAAGUCGGAUGUGAAAUCCCCGGGCUCAACCUGGGAACUGCAUCUGAUAAUGGCAAGCUUGAGUCUCGUAGAGGGGGGUAGAAUUCCAGGUGUAGCGGUGAAAUGCGUAGAGAUCUGGAGGAAUACCGGUGGCGAAGGCGGCCCCCUGGACAAAGACUGUGGCUCAGGUGCGAAUGCGUGGGGAGCAAACAGCAUGAUAUACCCUGGUAUCCCGCGCCGUAAACGAUGUCGACUUGGAGGUUGUGCCCUCGAGGCGUGGCUUCCGGAGCUAACGCAUUAAGUGGACCGCCUGGGGAGUACGGUCUCAAGGUUAAGACUCAAAUGAAUUGACGGAG
rnacentral:rRNA from 1 species